AUUAAAAUGCCGACACGCAAACAAAUAUUAUUUGGGCAUAAUUAUCACUCAAUUUACACUUUCUUAACAACAUAAAUUCGAAAAUAACAGUCUUUGAAAGCAGUAACUUCAAUCAUCUAUCACCCCCUUAAAUAAAGUAUAUGCUAAACAAAUUUAUUUUAUCCUAUAUCACUUUCAUGAAUAAUCACACACUGCGAUAUUAUGAACAUGAUUCCCCCCAAUCCGAAAAAGUUAUAAUCACAUACAAUUAUUAAAAGCAAAUAAAUCUCUGACAACGACUAAUCACAAUCGUAAAAGUAAUAUAAAUUAUACAGCCUAGUUUACGUUAAAUCAUAGGGGACCGUCUUCCGACAUAGCAUGUUAUUCAUUUUCAUUUACUCAU
rnacentral:lncRNA from 1 species